GGAUAUCGAUGUCAUGCUCAAAAUUACAAUUAUGAAAAUUCAGAACACAUUCAAUGCCGCUUAUAUCUAAUCGGCCGAUCAUUCAUCAAUCUAGUAAAUGUGGGACAUAGGGAUCUGACCUAGCCCAGCCUGCCAUUAUGCUACAAAUCUGCUUAAUAUUGUGAUUCAAACAUUUUUUUAUGAUCAAAAUAUCUUAAAUAUAAUAUAAAAUUAAGUUAAAAUAUUUAAAUAAUUUUCAUAUUAUUUAUUUUAAUAUACGCAUUGACGUGGCAUCCACGUAGCCAAGGCUAACGUGCGCUAGUUAAAUAACCCGUUGGCUGCGCUGCAGCGACACCUGAAGCAAAAACGGUGAUGCCAAUUGCCAAGCAUAAGAAACUACAAGAAUACAAAAACGACGACUCGUUGAGCACGAGGAAAUCGAAGGAGACGCUAAAGCCAGAGACGGUGCGCAGGCUAAGCCAGCGCACCCUAGCACUCCCCGCCCCUGCGCCUACCUAUAAAGCAGAAAAUUUAUUCGCUCCUUUUUCAAGUUAUUAAUAUUUUUUUGUUUUUGUUUUGAGUUUCGAUUGCUUUCGAAAAGCAUUGAAGCCGCGACGUAGAUCAUAUCAAGGGUCCAGUGCCAUUGUCUGAAUCGAACAAGACCCACGUCGAAUACUCCAAAAGAUCUCACGCCAUACUCUUGUUUUCGAUCCUUUUUCUUUCUUCUUUUUCUCGCCCACCAAACAGAGGAUUGGGUAGGUUUUGUUGGUAUUUUCUUUCUAAAAAAAAUUAAUGAAUUUCGAGGGUUUUCGUAAAACACGGAAAAGAAUUCUCGUGAUUUGUUGCGCAUUGUUUACAUGCAUCAUGUCAUGUGUGGUACGUUAAUAAGAGGAGUGUAUAUGUGUAUGUUUGUGUUUGAUGUGUGCGAGUUAUAGUGGGCAGGUGGUGUCGUCAGUGAAGAAGAUGCUAAGCCAGGUGGUGAAGGUCCAAAGAAAGAAGCUCACCGCAUGCAUGACAUGUCCUCUCUGCAAUAAGCUGUUUAGAGACGCUACUACCGUCUCUGAAUGUCUCCACACCUUUUGCAGGAAAUGCAUAUAUGACAAGAUAUGUGAUGACGACUUAGAUAGCUGUCCGGUGUGCAAUAUCGACUUAGGAUGUGCUCCACUAGAGAAGCUCAGGGCAGACCACAGCCUGGAAGAUCUAAAGGCCAAAAUCUUUGCUUCCAUAAGAGACAAAACUAAGGCACCUGCAGUUUUGCCCUCUGUCCCAGAAGCUGUACCCUCAUCCCCAUUAACAGGCAGAAGAAAGGAGAGAUAUUUAUCUUCAUUGGUGGUCAACACACCCAAAAUAGCAGCAAAGUCUACUCUGCCUAGAAAAAGAUUGAAAUCCAUUGCAAGGAAGAGUCCAGCUUUACGAGAAUCUAUUCUUGCUGAGGAAUUACUUGUUAAGAAAGUGGAUGCUUGUUGCCAUGAGAGUUUAAGCUCACCUGAAACUCUAAGCAAAAUUGCACAAGCUAAAAGGCAGAAUUCCAUUCCCGAGUCAUCCAAACAGUACAAGACAAAUAAGGAUAGAGAAGAGGAUAGUGCUGAACCAUGUGAAGGCGAAACUGAGUUGUGGAAACCCUUAAAUCGUGUGGUUGAAGCUGCAAACAAAUCAAAGCACAGUAAGUCUGAUAUAGAGGAAGCUACUGUCCAAAUGCAGCUGCCUGGUCCUGCAGAGAAUGAAGCUCAAGUGCUUAAAUCCGUUGUUAAGGAGCAUGGUAAAAAAUCAGAAGUUAAUGGUGAUGAAAAUAACUCAUCUCUGUCACCAGAAGAUUCAGUUAAGACUAGAAAGUUGCAAGGCAUACGGCAACAAAGAGCAGUUGUCUCCAAGGGCUUGAAUAUUAUUCCAGCACAAACUAUUGUUGAUGCAAGCAGUAAAUGCGAUGGAAGAUUUAGUCCAAUUUGGUUCUCAUUAGUUGCUUCUGAUGAUCAGGAAGGAAAUGCACCCUUGCCACAGAUAUCUCCAUGCUACUUGAGGAUUAAAGACGGCAACUUACCCGUUUCAUAUAUUAAAAAGUAUCUAGUGCAAAAGCUGGGUCUUGCUACCGAGGCUGAGGUAGAGAUCUCACUACAUGGCCAGCCGGUUCUUUCUACAUUGCAGCUGCAUCAUUUGGUGGACUGGUGGUUGCAGAUGGCACCAUCAUCUGAAAGAAUACAGACAAGCGUUGGCAGCUCAGCGAAAGAAUUUGUGAUGGUUCUGUCAUAUGGUAGAAAAACUCAACCUCCAUGAAAUAUUUGCACCAUGAACGUGAAUGGCAUCACUGAAUUUCAGUCCAAAUUUGGAGUCUUCAAUGUGUAUAUACACAGAAUCCAUGGAACGAAGGUAGCUGUAAGAAAGCAGGACAAGUAUAGGAUUCAUAUCGCCUUACAGGCAGCACUGAAACUGAAAAUU